UGAGGAUGAAGAGGUGAAUGGUGUUGAUUAUUGAACUGAAAGCUUGAUUUGGUCAGGUGGAGGGUGGCUUUGUGAAGGAUGUGGAGGUGGGAGAAGAAGAACUCUGAAGGAAAGCGGUGAGUAGAUGUCGAUGAUGUCUACUUGCUUGGCUGCUAUGGUGAUGCAUGCACCGGUGAAGCACGCGCACAUUUAAGGCUGGCCCCAUGUCUUCCUUGGCUGCGAACAUCAUCUACAGGCUAGCAGUAUGACCGGAUGCAAGGACCUGCUCAUUGACCAGGACAAUCUAUGAGCUCCCAGCGC